UCAUUUGAUUCAAACCAAAAUCCAUCAACUCAACAGUUUUUAAUGAAGUCAGCAACUCUGAUACCAAAGUCAUUUUAAAAAAAAGAUUUUAUUUUGAAUCACAUUGGGAGAGAGAGAGAGCGGAUCACACACUUACAGUUUAUGGUAGCAAGGUAUACUGUAAAACUCACACCAUGUCAUACACAUAUUGGCUUCAGAUGGGUACGUUUGCGGUAGUUGAAGAAGUCUACAUAUUGUGAAGUAUUGGGAGAGACAGAAAUGCUCUCACACAUACAGCUUGCAGAGGUCUACUACUGUACAACUCUCACAUACAGCUUGCAGAGGUCUACUACUGUACAACUCUCACACAUACAGCUUGCAGAGGUCUACUACUGUACAACUCUCACACAUACAGCUCGCAGAGGUCUACUACUGUACAACUCUCACACACA